ACGGGUGAGUAACACGUGAGUAACCUGCCCUUGACUUUGGGAUAACUUCAGGAAACUGGGGCUAAUACCGGAUAGGAGCUCCUGCUGCAUGGUGGGGGUUGGAAAGUUUCGGCGGUUGGGGAUGGACUCGCGGCUUAUCAGCUUGUUGGUGGGGUAGUGGCUUACCAAGGCUUUGACGGGUAGCCGGCCUGAGAGGGUGACCGGCCACAUUGGGACUGAGAUACGGCCCAGACUCCUACGGGAGGCAGCAGUGGGGAAUAUCGCACAAUGGGCGGAAGCCUGAUGCAGCAACGCCGCGUGCGGGAUGACGGCCUUCGGGUUGUAAACCGCUUUCACCUGUGACGAAGCGUGAGUGACGGUAAUGGGUAAAGAAGCACCGGCUAACUACGUGCCAGCAGCCGCGGUGAUACGUAGGGUGCGAGCGUUGUCCGGAUUUAUUGGGCGUAAAGGGCUCGUAGGUGGUUGAUCGCGUCGGAAGUGUAAUCUUGGGGCUUAACCCUGAGCGUGCUUUCGAUACGGGUUGACUUGAGGAAGGUAGGGGAGAAUGGAAUUCCUGGUGGAGCGGUGGAAUGCGCAGA
rnacentral:rRNA from 1 species